UUCUUUAAAAACUUAUUUUCUACUUCUUUUUAAUCAUUACUCUUAUUUCUCAUUUCGUUUUUUUUUUAAUUACUUUUAAGGGGUUUUGUUAUUUUGAGAGAUUUUGAGGAAAAUUAAACGUUUUUGAGUUGGUGCUGUAUUGAAUUGGUAGAAUCGCUAUUUAGGAAAUUUGAGGAAAAUGAAGCGUUUUUUUAUUUUCGGGUUAGUCUCAAAACUUUUGAGAGAUUAGAGGAAGUGAAGGUGUUUUGUUAUUUUGAGAGAUUUUGAGGAAAAUUAAACGUUUUUGAGUUGGUGCUUGUAUUGGAUUGGUAGAAUCGCUAUUUAGGAAAUUUGAGGAAAAUGAAGCGUUUUUUUUAUUUUCGGGAGGCUGGGAGAAAUCUUGUGUUGCAUACUCGGAUAUUCUGCAUAGAUAAUAUUCUCACUGGCGUUGGUGUUUCUCUGGGAAAAGAUACCAGAGUGAUGUUCCAUAAUAUUAUCAUACAUUUCAUUAAUCGGAAGAUUUAACUGUAAAAGCUUUAGAUAUACUUCAUGUUCUAUAUUGACAGACUUGAUUUUUUUUUUCAAAUUAAGUAUAAACUGUACCUGUAGAUCAUAAACUGAAAAUUCUGUGCUGUUUCUCCGUGAAAUGAAAUGUCUUGGGUGCAUGAACUUUUAAUAA